UUGAAAGCGCUGCCCGUCACCAGUCCUUCCGCGCAAAAGAGGCCUCAUCCCCGGGGCAAAAUUUUAAACAGGGAAAGCAUCCACUCUCCUUGCCCGGGAUACGGGAUCGCAUCCUUCACAUCCCGAGGAAGAGGAGGCGGAGGUGGCGGCGUGCAAGAUUUUUUUUAUAGAGAGAGCGCGCUUACCUGCACGUCACGUUUAAGUGCGUAUAGCACUAUUCAAAGGAGGAGGAAGCUUCGUCUUCAGACUUAUAGAUCGUGAUUCCCAAACUCUACAGUAGCUGACUACAAUUAAGGGGGUCAUAAAGACUUCAGAAUCGGUUCAACCCUGAGAAUAUCCAAGAUGUGGACGGUGAUGUCGAUUGCUGGACUCGGAAACAUUCUCAGAGUCACCUUCUCGGUCUGAUUGUCUUCUUAAAUUAUUCCUAACCUGGGAUUAUUCUAAUGCACAUGUUCAUCUCAAAACCAGCUCCCCCCCCUUUUUGUUUUUCACAAAGCUACUAAAAUAAAUAAAAAAAUCAGUUAAUGGGAUAUAAAAGUAGUUCAAAAUUCCCCCAGAUGCUGACACUGCCAUCUGCAUUUAUUCCAUUGUGUACUUUCCUGCUGUGAAUUAUUCCCUGAAUAAACUCUUCAACAGAACCUGGUAGUAUCUGGCAUCCCUAAAAUUCUUCACUGUUGAGAAGUUUAUUUUAUGAAUAAAAAGAAUUCAGCUAUGUAGAAAAUGCCUUGCAGUUAAAAGCAAUAGAUAUAGAUAAAUAUAACUAGAUAGAUCAAUUAGAUAGAUAUUUGUGUGUGUGUGUGUGUGUGUGAGAGAGAGAGAGGGGGGGGGAGAUGGCAUCCAUUCAGAGCAAAUAUCCACAAUGGUUGCAAGCAGAAUUCCAAAUGGAUCUUUUCAGGUGGUUGCAAUAUGCCUAAGGUUUUAUACAGAAUGAUUCUGUUGCAUUCAGACAGUUAUGGGUACUUAGCAAACAGCAUUAUUAUCUCAUACCUCUUAAGAUUGCAGAAGAUUGAGCCAUCUAUAAUAUCAAAAACAAUCUUCUCUUGGUGAGGUGGAUAAAGGGGGAGUACUCAUGACCAUAAGGAAGUUGGAUUAUUUAAACAAUGCUCCAGUACCUCAUUUUAGAGAUAUUGAGGUGGUACAGAUGGUGAAGAAUGCCAAAAGGAGUUAUAUGACUUUCUGAAGAAUGUUCUCCCAAAUGCACAAAACAUACUUUGAGAAAGUUAUUCUGGCAUCUCCUUACUUGGGAAUGUGGGGCAGCAAUACAGUAGACAGGGGUGGUGCAUUUAUGAAGACUAGAAGACUUCCAAGGUACCUUCCAACUCUUGUUCCAUAUUCUGUAUGUCUUCUUUUGAUGAUGUCUAGUUACCUACCAAUAAAUCCCAGAAUUCAUGAGAUACUGUGGUUAGAUUUUGCAAGAUUUGUUUUUGUAUGAAAUCUCUCAAGAUCUUGUCAAUUUUGAUUGUGAAUAUUUGCCUGCUUUGAACUUUAGUUUAGAACAUAGCAGACAAUAAUAAUAUACAAUCAUUUCUGUUCAAACGCAUCAAAAAACAAUGAAAAAAAUUCUAGUGAACAUUUUGAAACUAUAAUAAAAUAGAGAAAAUAUCUAUCAACAAAGCCCAAGAACCAAAAAAGAAUACUAUUCAUUACCCAUAUAAAGGUAAGCCAUUCAGAUUUAAAAUCAGUCCUGUGCAAUAAACUCUUUCUCAUGGGUAUCCGGUUGUAGUUCAGUAUUCACUUUAAAUGUUCUUACAAAGUGAGCUGAAAAUAAUAGAAUGAAACCCCACAGAAUCAAAGGCAAAACCUUUCUCUUAGAAAACAGAAAUCAAAUGCAUAGGUAUACGACGGGAUAAUUCUCCACGUAGUAGUACUUGUGAGAAAGAUCUUGGAAUAGUAGUUGAUUAUCAAUUUAGUGUAACUUGAAGGGUGAUGUGACUGCAGAAAUAACAAAUGAAAAUGUUGGCUUCACGAAGAGAAGCUUUUAAAGUAGCUUUUAAUAAUGAAAAGUAACUGUGCUGCAUUAUUCUGUAUUGGGCAGAUCCCUUGAGUCCAGUUCUGAGCACCACACUUUGAGAGUUCAAACAAAUUUGAUAUUAAACGAUUGGCAGUGUUUAGCCUUGAGAAGGGGAGAAUGGUAUAAAAGGGAGAAGUUUAUCAUGCUUCAUGUAUGUGAAAUAAUGUUACAAAAGAAUGUCAGGAUCUUUUCAAUAUUGUUCCAAAGUGUAGGAGGGGAAAUAAUGAAUUUAACUGUCAGAAAGAAAGAUUUUGACUGAAUAUUAAGAAAAACUUUUAAGAUAACUUAUUAAGAAUAUAUUUAUUAUAAUCAGCCACUGAUUUCUUAAUGACUCAAUUUUCAUUGCUUGCAGGUCCUGUAUUGCAUUAUAUUAUGAGCUAAUAUUUCCUUGUCCAUCCUAAAUUAAUGAAUAUAUAAUACUUCUUUCUGAAAUAUUGUAUGUUACAUGCAUUUGGUAAAAGUGAUUAACAUCCUGAAAACUUUAUAAGCAAUAAAAAUGUUGUCCUUAAAUUGCCACAAUA